GUAACUCAGGAGGCUUAGGAGAAAUGAGAUCCCCAAGUUAUGUGGGAAUUCUGUCUAUAUCCCCUACGAGAUUGUGAUUGAGAGGUGGGACUAACUGCGCCUUACUCACUAUGGGGUUCACUCUACCGUUAUAUUCAACUGGCUCCCAAUUUCCUUGAUAAAAGAUUUUUGAAAUGCACUGGAUUUUUUUCAUUAACCUAUUGCUUACUUGGAAGUGAGAGUUCCUUACAAUCUCAUUUGUCCAUUAGGUUAUCUAAAUCCACAAGGCUUCUCUGACAGCAGCAAGCCAUGGCUUUCCACUUUCAGUAAAACUCAUAGGAAAAAAAAAAAAAAAACUUGCUACCAGAUGCAUGGAACUAUUCCAGGAACAAUGAAACAAGAUUUGAUAUGUAUCUCCAAACCAAAACAAGCUUAGAGUUUAAAUAUUUCAGGUAAAUCUACUUUUUCUACUUAAAUUACCCAAAUUAUCACAUCAAAUGUUCACUUAUA
rnacentral:lncRNA from 1 species